CCCCGGGCCCGGCGUUCCCUCCCCUUCCGUGCGCCAGUGGAGGCCGGGGUGGGGCGGGGCGGGG
ensembl:miRNA MIR6089 microRNA 6089